ensembl:snoRNA
CUGCAUUCUUAAACCCUCUUGGCGGCUUCGCUCCCAGUGCUUCCAAGAUAUGAGUGAAUGCGAGAGGAACUGCGGGGAGUCCAAAGGCUGCGCUUCUCCCGUGGCUCAGCUUUAUUUCAUACCUGCGACAUCU